AUGCUUCUUGUACUCCACGUUUUAACCACCCACUUGUCCCAGUCAAAGUCACAUGGAUACUUUUCCAUUUUGCCAAGAAUCUCCUUUGGCCAUGCCCAAUCAGAGGAGAAGGUGGUGCAGAGGUUGCAACACCUCCUGAUGAGAGCUGGCACCAUCAUUGAGGAGGCAGACACGCGAUACAUAACCAACUCCAGGAUGAUGAUGCAGGUCAAGACACUCUUAGAGGCCAUGUACCACGGAUAUAGUGUGCUGGAAAAAUUGAGGUAUUGUGCCCUCCAAGACAGUGCAGGCUCCGACAAGGCUAGCAUCAAUGACUCGUCUAGCAGCAGCUUGCAAUUCAUUCCUUUCAAGCGUUCUCGAACAACAUCCAAGAAGGAUGACAAGGCAAUGUGCCUCGAGUCACAUGGUGCCUUGGAACGCUUAGAAAAUGCUAUUGCUAAUAUGGUAGAAUUUAUAGUUCUUCUGGGUGGAUGCGAGCGCAUGUCCCGUAGGCCAUAUGACGUUUAUCUUUACACUGACAAUUUCAUGUUCGGCCGACGCGCUGAGAAGCAAAAGCCGUUGAGCUUCUUGUUGGAGAACAACAACUCUCCUGGUGAUCAUGCACUUGCAGUUCUUCCAAUCAUAUGUGGUGUUGACGUUGGAAAGAAAACCUUGGUUGCUCAUGUGUGUGGCGACGAAAGGCUAAGCUCACGCUUCUCCUCUAUUUUGCGCUUGAAUGGACACAACCUCUUGACCAUACUUGACCAUGGAAGGACCAUGUCUGUGACGAUGUUGGUAAUUAUUGAGUUUGCUUCUGAUGUAGGUGACGAUGAAUGGAAAAUGUUUCACUCGUUUCUCAUAAGAAUGAGCAGAGGAAGCAAGAUCAUCAUCAUAAGUAAACUUAAAAGGUUAGCCCAGUUUGGAUCAGUGCAGCCUAUUUUUCUAAGUGUUCUGUCUUAUAACGAGUUGAGAUGCCUUUUCAAGAAACUGGCAUUCGGGAGUGUAGACCUUGCAGAACAUCCACGGCUAGUACAAAUAGCAGAUGAUUUUUCCAAGGUGUUGUACAUUGUGCCAAGUACACUUCUUGCAACAAAUACACUAGCGCAUGUCUUGAGAAAGAACCUCAGUGUUCGGUUUUGGCUCUGCAUAUUGGACAAGGUGAUAAGAUAUGCCAAAAGAAAUGUCUCCACAUAUGGUGUGCACCCAAACAUGCUUUUCGAAGAAGGCCAUCAUGUGGACAUAACAGGUAUUGCGCUGCAUACACUUGGUGAACUUAUGAGAGACCCACAGGAAGUUUUUGCCCGAGAGGUCAAGGCCGCGGGCGAGCUCCCGCGUCUGCUCCGGCGAGAAGCUGGUCAUUGUGCCAAAGGAGACGUACACCACCGAGCUGGCCGGCUUCUUGUCGAGCCACCGCAGGCACGCGAUGGCCUCAGGCGAGAGUGCACCAGCAACGGUGCCUCUUGA
rnacentral:rRNA from 1 species